CGCAUCUGUGCAUGCAGCAUAUCAAUAAGCGGAGGAAAAGAAACUAACAAGGAUUCCCUUAGUAACGGCGAGUGAAGCGGGAAGAGCUCAAAUUUGAAAUCUUCAAGGUUUUACCUUGACGAAUUGUAGUUUAAAGAAGUGUUUUCUGUUGAAGUUUUGGUAAAAGUUCUUUGGAAGUAGGACAUCAUAGAGGGUGAGAAUCCCGUAUUUGACCAUUAUUUUCAGCUGUGUGAUACACUUUCAAAGAGUCGGAUUGUUUGGGAAUGCAGUCCAAAAUGGGUGGUAAAUUUCAUCUAAAGCUAAAUAUUGGCGAUGAGACCGAUAGCGAACAAGUACCGUGAGGGAAAGAUGAAAAGAACUUUGAAAAGAGAGUUAAACAGUACGUGAAAUUGUCAAAAGGGAAGCGUUUGACACCAGUGUUGUUUUCUCGAAAAUCAAUUAAAAAGAGUUAGAUUUUGUUGUGUAUUGACCUUAACAGCUUGCAUUUCAAUUUUCUUGCUUUUUUUAAUGCACUUUUCGUUUAACAAGUCAACAUCAGUUUCUUUUGUUGUAAAAAGGUCAUUGGAAGGUGGCUUUCUUUUCGGAGAAAGUGUUUAUAGCCUUUGACUCCUGCAAUCGGAGAGACUGAGGUCUGCAGCGUAGAUCCUUCGGGGUUAGAUACAUUUGUGCUAAGUUAUAGCUUUUUAUAGACAACUUGUUGACUAUGAUUAGUCUUGUAGCUUACUCGCUUAUGCUAUUUUACCUACGCUUAGGAUGUUGAUCUGUAGUGCGUGCGC
rnacentral:rRNA from 1 species